rnacentral:lncRNA from 1 species
CCCCCAAUUUAUUUUUGUUUAACGUUGCUGCGCAGCCCAUGACACAGCGACACAGCUAAACCGAUUGUAUUGUAAUAAUCCUGUUGAUUUACAUCUCAGUAUUUGUUUUUUCUGAAACUAGUCGUCACGUAAGUGAGCACGGCAUGGCACAAAAUGGAUUCGUUCGUCAAAAGCAUCAGGUAAGAUGCUUAUUAAAUCAUUACGUUUCAAGCUGACAUCCCAUUCCUACUUUGUAUAUCAUCGUCUUCACACAAACAAAUGGUCACUGUUUACAAUCCGUAUGAUUUUGUGGUGAGUUUCAAAGUGCUAUGCAAUGCACCACACAAGUACCGGAUUGUUGAUCCUGAAGGAUCCAUUAAACCUAAUUGUUGUGUAGAUAUAGUUACACGUCAUAUUUCUAUAUUGCCAACCUGCUACCAUGUUAAAGACAAGUUCAGGAUUCAAAUGAAUUAUCACAUUAGCAGGCAAUUGUUAGGGAAAAAGGAUCUAUCAGUUACUUUAUUACCAGGAAAAUCCUCAGGAAUCUCAGAAUCUACUGCUACUAGUCAGGAUACAUACAAGCAAUUCUCCACAGAGCUGACUGCAACCUCUUCUGGUGAUUCAAGUGCACCAAUCAUGCAAAUCCAGGCUUAUUCUGAAAACCUUGCAAAACUAGGUUUUCCUUUGCUUUUACUUUUCUUCAGCUGUCACUAAAACAUUGCAUUUCUAUAGGUUAUCAAACUGCUGGGCAAAACUAUAUUGCUAUUGUGGUAGCAAUUAUUUGUAUUAUAGCUCUAAUGUUGCCUUCUGAUGAGUCUGAAAGCAGCCCAUCAUCAUCUCUGUGAUCCUUGUUCCAUUUGUCUUCUCAGCAGAAAUUGGUAUUUGCCUAUUCUCUUGGUCUGGUUACAAUGGUCAUAUUUCGAGUAUAAGCCUUUCUCCUAUAGGAAAUUACGGGAAAUGCAAAGAAUUGGCAACUUUGUAUUCGCCUACAAAAUGCGAGAAUAUCGUUGAGAUUUCUUAAUGUCGGAUUUAUAAAAAAAAAGAACAUUUAGAUAAUUUAUAAAGUAAUCUGAACACGGCUGUUCUCUUGAUUGACACAUGCAAAUGAACACGAAACUCGCAUUUGUUAAAAUGGAAUGUCAUGUCCGCGAUUGCAGACAAAACUCUAACCACCCUGUAAUAUUCCCAAUGAAUUGCAAUAAAAAACAAUUAUUAUUUUACACAAA